rnacentral:rRNA from 1 species
UACAGAGGGUGCGAGCGUUAAUCGGAAUUACUGGGCGUAAAGCGCACGUAGGUGGCUAUGUAAGUCGGGUGUGAAAGCCCGGGGCUUACCCCCGGAAGUGCAUUGGAAACUGGGAGGCUGGAGUACCGGAGAGGAAGGUGGAAUUCCUGGUGUAGCGGUGAAAUGCGUAGAUAUCAGGAGGAACACCGGUGGCGAAGGCGGCCUUCUGGACGGAUACUGACGCUGAGACGCGAAAGCGUGGGGAGCAAACAGG